rnacentral:rRNA from 1 species
AAUCAACGCUGGCGGCGUGCCUAACACAUGCAAGUCGAACGAGAAAGUGGGGGCAACCCUGCGAGUACAGUGGCAGACGGGUGAGUAACACGUGAACAACCUACCCUUGAGUGGGGAAUAACACCGCGAAAGCGGUGCUAAAACCGCAUAAAAUCCUUUUAUCGCAUGGUGAAGGGAUCAAAAGCGCAAGUUGCUUGAGGAGGGGUUCGCGGCUGAUUAGCUAGUUGGUGAGGUAACGGCCCACCAAGGCAACGAUCAGUAGCCGGCCUGAGAGGGCGAACGGCCACACUGGAACGGAGACACGGUCCAGACUCCUACGGGAGGCAGCAGUGGGGAAUUUUGCGCAAUGGGCGAAAGCCUGACGCAGCAACGCCGCGUGGAGGAUGAAGGCCUUCGGGUCGUAAACUCCUGUCGAUGGGGACGAAAGCCUAGCAAUAGGAUUGACUGUACCCGUUGAGGAAGCCAUGGCUAACUCCGUGCCAGC